AAGGUGUGUUCUUGCUGUUUUGCAUUUCUUACCUUACUUUUAUUCUUAGAGAUCUGAGAACAAUCGCUGCUUUUAUUGCAAUAUCAAACAUGAUUCUCUUAGUCUGAUUUUUGGACAUAAAAAAGCAAAACAAUCUUUACCUUCUCAAGUUGGCUGGCUCCUGCUGAUCUCAGUUUUGGAAUCCCAUUAGGUUAUGAGGAUGAAAGGUCAGUGCUUAUGUCCCAGAGGAAAUUGGAGAAACGCUUUGGUCAGUCUCCAAUCUUCAUUGCAUCCACCUUUAUGACUCAAGGUGGCAUACCACCUUCAACAAACCCAGCUUCUCUACUGAAGGAAGCUAUCCAUGUUAUCAGCUGUGGGUACGAGGACAAAACUGAAUGGGGAAAAGAG
rnacentral:lncRNA from 1 species